rnacentral:tRNA from 1 species
GGGCCGGUUAGCUCAGUAAGUUGAGCGUGAGGCUAACAACACUAAGGUCACGGGUUCAAUUCCCGUUCGGUCCC